AGCGAACGCUGGCGGCAGGCUUAACACAUGCAAGUCGAACGCAUCCUUCGGGGUGAGUGGCAGACGGGUGAGUAACGCGUGGGAACAUGCCCUUUGGUUCGGAAUAACUCAGGGAAACUUGAGCUAAUACCGGAUAAGCCCUUUUGGGGAAAGAUUUGUCGCCGAAGGAUUGGCCCGCGUCCGAUUAGCUAGUUGGUGAGGUAAUGGCUCACCAAGGCGACGAUCGGUAGCUGGUCUGAGAGGAUGAUCAGCCACACUGGGACUGAGACACGGCCCAGACUCCUACGGGAGGCAGCAGUGGGGAAUAUUGGACAAUGGGGGCAACCCUGAUCCAGCCACGCCGCGUGAGUGAUGAAGGCCCUAGGGUUGUAAAGCUCUUUCGGCGGGGACGAUAAUGACGGUACCCGCAGAAGAAGCCCCGGCUAACUUCGUGCCAGCAGCCGCAGUAA
rnacentral:rRNA from 1 species